GCAGUACAAUGGAUAGCGCGUUGGACUUCUAAUCCAAAAGUCGUGGGUUCAAAUCCCACCCGAAAUG
rnacentral:tRNA from 1 species